UCUUCUCUCCCUCAGAGACUCC
rnacentral:miRNA from 1 species